rnacentral:rRNA from 1 species
GGGGGAAUUUUGGACAAUGGGCGAAAGCCUGAUCCAGCAAUGCCGCGUGUGUGAAGAAGGCCUUCGGGUUGUAAAGCACUUUUGUCCGGAAAGAAAUGGCUCUGGUUAAUACCUGGGGUCGAUGACGGUACCGGAAGAAUAAGGACCGGCUAACUACGUGCCAGCAGCCGCGGUAAUACGUAGGGUCCAAGCGUUAAUCGGAAUUACUGGGCGUAAAGCGUGCGCAGGCGGUUGUGCAAGACCGAUGUGAAAUCCCCGGGCUUAACCUGGGAAUUGCAUUGGUGACUGCACGGCUAGAGUGUGUCAGAGGGGGGUAGAAUUCCACGUGUAGCAGUGAAAUGCGUAGAGAUGUGGAGGAAUACCGAUGGCGAAGGCAAUCUCCUGGACCUGUACUGACGCUCAUGCACGAAAGCGUGGGGAGCAAACAGGAUUAGAUACCCUGGUAGUCCACGCCCUAAGCGAUGUCAACUGGUUGUUGG